GACUUGACUCAGAGGGGUAGAGCGUUGCACUUGUAAUGCAAAGGCCGAUAGUUCAAAUCUGUCGUAUGUAGCCUUCAACU